ACAAAGGCUCUUUUCAGAGCCACCCACCUUCUCGACCAAAGCGCUGU
rfam:Mesocricetus auratus contig023768, whole genome shotgun sequence.